rnacentral:rRNA from 1 species
AGAGUUUGAUCCUGGCUCAGGAUGAACGCUAGCGGCAGGCUUAACACAUGCAAGUCGAACGGUAAGGCCCUUUCGGGGGUACACGAGUGGCGCACGGGUGAGUAACGCGUAUGCAACCUACCUGUAACUGGGGGAUAGCCCGGAGAAAUCCGGAUUAACACCCCAUAAUAUUCAGGGAUCGCAUGGUCCCUGUCUUAAAACCCCGGUGGUUACAGAUGGGCACGCGUGCCAUUAGUUAGUUGGUAAGGUAACGGCUUACCAAGACAGCGAUGGCUAUGGGGUCUAAAAGGAUGGUCCCACACACUGGUACUGAGACACGGACCAGACUCCUACGGGAGGCAGCAGUGAGGAAUAUUGGUCAAUGGGCGCAAGCCUGAACCAGCCAUGCCGCGUGCAGGAUGACUGCCCUAUGGGUUGUAAACUGCUUUUACACGAGAAGAAACCUGUCCACGUGUGGAUAGUUGACGGUAUCGUGCGAAUAAGGAUCGGCUAACUCCGUGCCAGCAGCCGCGGUAAUACGGAGGAUCCAGGCGUUAUCCGGAUUUAUUAGGUUUAAAGGGUGCGUAGGCGGAUGUGUAAGUCAGUGGUGAAAUCCUGCAGCUCAACUGUAGAACUGCCAUUGAUACUGCACGUCUUGAGUAUAGUUGAGGUAGGCGGAAUGUGGCAUGUAGCGGUGAAAUGCAUAGAUAUGCCACAGAACACCGAUUGCGAAGGCAGCUUACUAAGCUAUAACUGACGCUCAGGCACGAAAGCGUGGGUAGCGAACAGGAUUAGAUACCCUGGUAGUCCACGCCGUAAACGAUGAUUACCAGUUGUUGGCGAUACACAGUCAGCGACAAAGCGAAAGCAUUAAGUAAUCCACCUGGGGAGUACGUUCGCAAGAAUGAAACUCAAAGGAAUUGACGGGGGCCCGCACAAGCGGAGGAACAUGUGGUUUAAUUCGAUGAUACGCGAGGAACCUUACCUGGGCUUAAAUGGAACCGGACUUUUGCCGAAAGGUGAUUUCCCUUCGGGGCUGGUUUCAAGGUGCUGCAUGGUUGUCGUCAGCUCGUGCCGUGAGGUGUCGGGUUAAGUCCCAUAACGAGCGCAACCCUCAUCGUUAGUUGCCAUCGGGUAAUGCCGGGGACUCUAACGAAACUGCCAGAGUAAUCUGAGAGGAAGGUGGGGAUGACGUCAAAUCAGCACGGCCCUUAUGUCCAGGGCUACACACGUGUUACAAUGGCCAGUACAGCGAGCAGCCACUUGGCGACAAGGAGCUAAUCUCGAAAGCUGGUCUCAGUUCGGAUCGGAGUCUGCAACUCGACUCCGUGAAGGUGGAUUCGCUAGUAAUCGCGUAUCAGCAACGACGCGGUGAAUACGUUCCCGGGCCUUGUACACACCGCCCGUCAAGCCAUGGAAGCCGGGGGUACCUGAAGUCCGUAACCGCAAGGAUCGGCCUAGGGUAAGACUGGUGACUGGGGCUAAGUCGAACAAGGUA